rnacentral:rRNA from 1 species
AACGAACGCUGGCGGCAUGCCUAACACAUGCAAGUCGAACGGGACCGUCGUGCUUAGUGGCGCAGGUGGGCGGGACGCGGGGUAAUCUACCCGCAGGUUCGGAAUAACUGAGUGAAAUUUGAGUUAAUACCGGUGGGGGACGUAAGGCCAAAGAGUUAUCGCCUGAGGGUGGGGCCGGGUAGGUUUAGGUAGUUGGUGAGGUAAAGGCGCAGCAAGCCGACGAUGCUUAGCUGGUCUGUGAGGAUGAUCUGCCACACUGGGACUGAGACCCGGCCCAGACUCGUACGGGAGGCAGCAGUAGGGAAUAUUGGACAAUGGGCGAAAGCCUGAUACAGCAAUGCCGCGUGAGUGAUGAAGGCCUUAGGGUUGUAAAGCUCUUUUACCCGGGAUGAUAAUGACAGUAACGGGAGAAUAAGCUCCGGCUAACUACGUG